UACGUAGGCAGCGAGCGUUGUUCGGAGUUACUGGGCGUAAAGGGUGCGUAGGCGGUUGUUUAAGUUUGGUGUGAAAUCUCCCGGCUCAACUGGGAGGGUGCGCCGAAUACUGAAUGACUAGAGUGCGGGAGAGGAUAGUGGAAUUCCUGGUGUAGCGGUGAAAUGCGUAGAUAUCAGGAGGAACACCGGUGGUGUAGGCGGCUAUCUGGACCGUAACUGACGCUGAGGCACGAAAGCGUGGGUAGCAAACAGG
rnacentral:rRNA from 1 species